ACGUAGGGAGCAAGCGUUGUCCGGAAUUACUGGGCGUAAAGGGUGCGUAGGCGGCGCAGUUAGUCAGAAGUGAAAUAUCGGGGCUUAACUCCGGGACUGCUUCUGAUACUGCUGUGCUCGAGUGCAGGAGAGGUAAGUGGAAUUCCUAGUGUAGCGGUGAAAUGCGUAGAUAUUAGGAGGAACACCAGUGGCGAAGGCGACUUACUGGACUGUAACUGACGCUGAAGCACGAAAGCGUGGGUAGCAAACAG
rnacentral:rRNA from 1 species